AAGUUCAUCUGAGUCUUUACCCAACUUCUGUCUCCCUUGUGUGGGAAAGCAUGAUCUAAAAAUGCACUCCCUGCUUUUAUUCCUUAAUGAAUCAGAAUUAAGUGAGGGGUUACAGAAGUUCAUACACCCCCUCCCACACUGCAAGAAGAAUGGAAAGAACUGCACCACCAUGACACCAGGACAUGCACACCAAUCAAAGCAAUUGCCUUAAAUUCAUUGUUUGCCUGUCAGCUGGAAGCAAAUAAUGAAAUCAAACCAAACAAUCUCCAAUCACACCUUGAUUUUCACUUGAAUGAAAAAGCCCUGUUCUCCAGCAUGGAGCUACAGUCACACCCUGGUAUGAUUGUGAUUGCUGCUCCAUCUUAAAUACAGUACAGGGACCAGCUUUGAGUGGGCGGUGUGGUAACGCAUUCUGUUAUCUCCCUCCCACCCCCUCGUUGAGCUGAACUGUUGAGCCCAGCCUUUUCUGAGGAAAAAGGAAAAAUAAACACUCAAGAGUUUUUUGAUAAAGCGGAAGGUGUGAAGCGCACUGAGGGGCGUGCAUCUUAUCGCUGCCCCGGCCCACAUGGUGUUCCAUCGGUUGGUAAACACUUGGGGUGACAGUGGUCACAUAAUGUUUCUGUUUGUACAUUCCAGGCUGGUGAUGAGACGUCCAUUCAUUUCCCUCCCAUUCACCACAUUUUGACGAACCUGUCUCAGCUUUGAUUGUCAUAACUGCAAUUGAACCCUGCUUAGCCACCCAGGUCAGGCUACAUGAACGGCAUCCAUAUUCCAUGCAGCAUCGCAGUCAUCUGACAAAAGGGAUUUUUUUUUUUUCCUUUUCAGUUUGUGAAUUGAAAUCAUGCCUCAUAUUUCAUUAGACACUCAGAAAAGCCUUCGCUCUGUGGUCAGAUGGGCCGUAUGUUUUAUUCAUGUCCUCUGAACAUCUGCUUGUCCGGAUGUCAAAAAUCAUCAGGCUCCCACAGGACUCCCGCCCGACUGGUUGUAAAUGAACUCCCGAUGUCGAGACUCAAAACAACCUGUCAGGGCUCUCCACCACCAGGGGAAUGCUUCAGUACAUCAGCGGAGCUUUCGGUGGAUUUUGACACUGCUGUUCGCUCUGGCUCCUGGUCGACAAGUCUCCCUGAGUCACCAGAGGCUCAUGCCAACCGGGAGGGAAAGAGCCUGACCACUAACAAGUGCUCACUGACUCAUAGCCGCCACAAAAACGUGUGGUCGUUUAGAAAUGCUCAUGCGUCCUUGCUCACAUGCAGCGCCCUCCCAACUCAGCUGCAGCAGCGAUGCAUGAAUUAAAAAAACAAUAAAAGAGGAAUGCAACCGAUUUUACUCUGAAAUGUCAUUUCAAAUGUCAUCGUUGCAAGUCACAGUUGACAAUUGCUCUGGAUGACUCUUAAAUUCAUGUAAUUACCUUGAGCGUGUUAUUCCAAAACUUUAAUCACAGCCACACUUCAUGUAACAUACUGUAUAAUAUCCGUGAUGCUAAAUGCUCAUGAUGGCAAUGCAAAUAUCCUGAUGUUUAGCAGUUUUAUUGUUUACAUCCUAAUUUAGCAUGUUAGCAUCUUAGAAAAUUGCUGAUUAGCACUAAACAGAAAGUAUAGCUGAAACUUUGACAAUGCUAACAUGCUGAUGUUUAGCAGG